AACAGGUCCUGGAAACAUGAAGCGAUCAUGUGACAGGAAAGCUGCAGCCCGCUUCAUUGGCUGAUCUUUGUGCUCCGUUUAAGAGUAGAAGAAGAAGAAGAAGGGCUCAAUCAAUCCUCAGGAGGACUGCUUUCUGCACCUGCUAUUGAUCCUGCAGUCAUUCUUCAUUGAUCACCCGCAGAGCCCUUUGGUGUGGAGCAGAUGCACCUGUGAGGGGAUGCUGCAGGCAGCUUUACCUUUCUCCAGUCAGCCAGGGAAAGGCGAGACACCUGAUGCCCUCCUCCAGGCACCGAGAACCACCGAAAGAUUCCUCAGGCCUGUGAAACCACCCGGCUGCGCUCAGGGUUCAAAGAUUCAACAAAUUCCAGGGCAGAUCUCAGGGGAGAGUUACUUUGUGAGCGACCACACAGGGCCAGAAAAACUCCAAAUAUGCUCGAAUCAGAGUCACAGAUUUAGAAGCAGGUAGUCUUCAAAAACUGUUUAAUUUGACAUCAUUACGGUGGAAAAAAGGUGAAAAUGAAAGGCUGAAUUUCCAUUCAGGUUGAUAGAAAUGUGUAAUUAGACAAUAAAAAGCCUAAAAGUCUCAGAACAUCAGUCAUUAAACGAAGCAAGAAUCUGGGAAACGUCCCAUUAGAGUGGAGGGCUGCAU
rnacentral:lncRNA from 1 species